AUUGUGCUUGCACGACUUCCCCCGGCCCCCGGCCUGUGGGCCCAGGUCCUGGGGUGAACCGAGCGCUCGCUCUUUCGUCAGACAGUAGCGCUCCAGCGGCUGCCCUUACUGUGUAGUAGCCAAAGCUGAGGGUGAUGACUGUGAACCAGAACAGACUGCCUCGCUGAAAAGUCACUUGGAACUCUUCUGUGGCAUCUGAAGCAGAUGGAUGAAGCCAAGAGGGCUGAGAGUAUCUUAGCACCUAGAAAUGGACAAGGCUGGUUAUUAGAACAAAGAUUUCGCAGGUGGUGAGUCUCAAAGGCGAAGCUGAAUGAUUUGAUAUUUCAUGAAAUUCAGAAAUAAUUUGGAGCUUUUCAAACCUGGGAUAUGGAAGAAACUGACGCUCCUGUUCUCUGGGAAGAGGCAAGAAUCUGCAUCAAAGAGCCCUGGAAGCAAUCAUGGCUCAGCUGUGACGCCUUUAGAACAUGAAGUCCUCCAAGAAGAUGCCAUAGGAAUGGUCUCCAUCCCAGGGCCUGGAGAGCAGCCAGAGACAAGGAGAGUGGCCCAGGAGGGCAGUGGCAGUCAGUGCUACACUGUGGCCUGUCAGUCUCAGAGCCAGGAUUUAAACACUGGAUCUCCCAUUGACCAGUCAUAAUGAAGUAAGAACAAGAAGACGGGGAAGAGGAAGUGUAAAACCGUGGCAUAAAUUUACCAAGGAUAAGCUGAGUGUACUUCAGCAGUCAUUUGCACAGAAUCCUUAUCCUAAUUUUACAACCAGGGAAAAACUGGCUGGACAGUCUCUUGUCCUGUGUUUGUAAUUGAUAACUGGUUUCAAAAUAAAAGCCAGACCACCACUUAGAGAGAGACACAGAAUGUUCGCUGCCAGGGAACUGCAUGAUUCCUCUGCCAAAGGCCACCCAUUUACAAGAAUCCAGGAAAACCAGGUGGAAUCUCCCAAUGAUGACCCUGAGCAGAACUUCUUGUACCCAGGAAGUUCUACUGGGUGGAGCUGGCCACUCUUCCGCGUAGACACAGGGGACUCCCAAUUAACACAAUGGCUCAAAUAACUGUAGCCUUAUGGAUUGAAAGGAAACUAAGCUGUGAUUUGGAGUAUCCAGGUGACACAGAAAAUGGCCCUUGUCGAUGUAGAUCAGCAUUAUUUCCUCAUCCUUCUGCAUCUCCUCCUCAGUAUUCUGAAAGGGACAAGCCUGAGAUGGGGGAAAGCAAGCACGCAAGGCCCUCCCCUUUGUGCUGUGUUCAUGGUGUGCGGGGAGAGAGGCAGCAGCAGGAGGAACAGAAAGGUUAUUUUCUUUACUGACUCUUUCAAGGACAUCAGCAGAAUGGUUUGGAAUGUCAUCAUGAGCAGCCUCAGCCUCAGAAUUACCAGGAGAAGCUGGUCUUCCAGGAUCAGGUUCUAAUGUAUAUGAGUCACAGGAUUUAGGGAAGCAGGCACUUUCCCUUCAGUCCCAGCAGCAUGGGUGAUGUUCCCAAGUAAUGGACAGUCCCUAUGCUCUCAGUUGUGGCACACACCUUGGCAAAUAGUGAUCAGAUCUCCACAAAUGCCUCUUGGGUAAGAUAUGCAGCAACAUAGCUGGCUGCAGAGCAACCCGGGUCCCAAAUCCAGCAGCUCUGGGAUGAGAAGUCUGCAAGUGUUUACUGCUGGGACCAGGACUGUUUCUAGGAAAUGGUGCUAGGCUUCAGAGAGCAUCAUCCACAGGUCAUCCCACAACCAUCCACACAGAAGCCUGAGGAAAAGGGCUCUGCAGAGCUUGCACAUAAAGAUGCUGAACUCAGGAAGGCUCUGUGAGCUGCUGGUCUCUUCUGGUAGGGCAGCAGUGUCCUGAGAAGGUGGAGCUAGAGUAUGGAGAACAAAACUUAACAAGCACCAAGGCAGGAAGCAAGGCAACCCCCAAAUGACAGCAGUUGCCAAAUCCAAAGCAAUCUACUUCAGAAGACAGAGGCUCUGCAUAGUCCCUGUCUCAGACAUUGUCUCCUACUUAGAAGAUACCUAACAACAGCACUGUGGGAGGCUGAGGCGGGUGGAUCACCAGGUCAGGAGAUUGAGACCAUCCUGGCUAACACGGUGAAACCACGUCUCUACUAAAAAAUACAGAAAAAAAUUAGCUGGCCGUGGCGGCGGGCACCUGUAGUCCCAACUAUUUGGGAGGCUGAGGCAGGAGAAUGGCCUGAACCUGGGAGGCAGAGCUUGCAGUGAGCCGAGAUCACGCCACUGCACUCCAGCCUGGGCAACAGAGUGAGACUCUGUCUCAAAAAAAGAGAAAAAAGAAGAUACCUAACAAGCAGUACAAGAAUAUGAAGGACCCCACUGCCCAGACUUUGUAUGGGGGGGUGUCUAAGGUGGCUACAGCAAAGCUGUCAUCUCCAUCCACCAGGACAGCAUCUCCAGCCAUGGUGUGUGGCCUGCUGGGACAGCAGCCAUGUGUCCUUUCACAGACAGCCCACCAAAGCUCUGACUGUGAAGGACAUCCCAACAUCAGCCUAGCCUGCAUACACUUAAGGCAUAGAAUCACCUGAGGCUUCUCCGUUGAAGACAGGGACACCCGAUGGAGUUGCAGCCCCAGCUUUGCACUGUAAAGAGCCCCAGGGGGCUUCUGUGCUGGAGCAGGUGUGCAGACCCCUCCCCACCCCCUUCACUGAGAGCUGCUCCCUGGAACCAGUGUUUUGACUGAGUCACCUCUGGACGUGGGCCCACAAGAUCUGAGGGUGCCCAGACGAGCAGUUGAAUGCCUGUGUUGACCUGAGUUUUUGGAAAAAAGCCCCAAACUUUGAAACAAUUUUCAUAAUUUUGAGCUUCAGGAUGUGGAAUCACUUCUCAAGUAUUCUGGAGUUCUGUCCAUCAGAGCGGGUCCUGCCAAUGCUGCCCUGUGCAGUGCUUCAGGCUGCAUCCCUCCCACUAGGGGGCGCCUUUCACAUAGUGGUGCCCGCCUUCUAGAGGAGCAACGUUUCCUGAACUGCAGGGUUCCCUCAGGUGCUUUGUGUAAAACACAUCCACUGCAUAGAAUUUGUGUUAUUUCCAUUUCGUUUUCUUGACAAUAUUUAGUUAAUUACAAAAUGAUGUAUGUUAUGAUAGUUUAAGCAAUACAGAGAGUAACCAAGCAAAA
rnacentral:antisense_RNA from 1 species